CACGUGGAACGUGUCAGCGUGUAUAUAAGACGGCGGGCAAUUACACAUUUCACAGUUCUGCAAUAUCCUUUCACUGCAACUGUUCUGUUGGCCCAAGCCAUCUGUAAGACUUCAUCAUUCAUCAGUAUAUUACCAGCAAAGGACGUGUGGCUGGGGUGUCGUCAGUGUCAGUCUCGUUGUUUUCCUGUAGCUGACGGAACGCAUUUGACAUCACUGCAGAGGAGCCCGUACGAAGCAGAUCGCAGGUAUAUGCGUUCCUUUGCGGGCAAGACGCCGACAAGAAAUUCAUCCACUUGUUCAAUCGUGUCAAUUGAAUGUCCAACGGAGCGGAAGGCCAAGGUAGCAUCCCUUCCAGCUUGUUCCAUCAUGACUUCAAAUCCACCCGGAUGGUUGUGGAUGAGUUUGGUGACAUUGUAUACUUUGUCGUUGAGGACGAUCCAACAAUCAUCUUCUUGAUCGUGCCAGGAAACCUGUUCCAAUGAGUAUUCCGGUAAGUGUGCUAAGCUGGCUAAUUCCGCUUCGCAUUGUUGUUGCUGCUGAAGUCUCGUGAUGGCCGACGCAGCUAAUCGAAAUGUACUGCUAGCCAAUGUAACCAUCUGUCAAAAAUAAAUAA